rnacentral:rRNA from 1 species
ACGGGGGGGGCAAGCGUUGUCCGGAAUUAUUGGGCGUAAAGGGCGCGUAGGUGGGACAGCAAGUCUGGGGUGCAAUCUUACGGCUUAACUGUAAGCUUGCCUUGGAUACUACUGUUCUUGAGUUCGGAAGAGGGAAGUGGAAUUCCUGGUGUAGCGGUGAAAUGCGUAGAGAUUAGGAAGAACACCGGUGGCGAAGGCGACUUACUGGUCCGUAACUGACGCUGAUGCGCGAAAGUGUGGGGAGCAAACAG